AGUGCAUAGAUGUUGAAAGAACUGAGUGGGAAAACCAUAUAAAGAGACGACGGCAGAAAUCUCCUUCUUCAAUUGAACUUCUUGAUGCAGAACAAUGCCAAGAGUUGGAGGUUGAUGGAAUUAAGACCUUAUAUGUGGGCAAUGACUUCAAUGGAGAUGUUCCUUUAACAAAGAAAAUUCUUGCUGCAUUAACUACAGGUAAAUCCACACACACAUCAGCUGAAACUUUGUGAUUUUUGGAGUGCAAAAGUCUUGAGUGAGCCAGACAGAAUUGUUGGGGAGCUAUUGCAGCCUGGGGGAUAUCUCAAAUUGAUUGAGUUGGGUCUUGAAGAUUGAUGCCCAGAAAGUGUUUGGUUAUGCUCUUUACAAAGAUGGGAAGGAUACAACACUGUCUUAUCCCUUGGAGGCUUGGAGGCAUCUGCUCAUAUGGACCAGUUUCUCUUCUCUCUGGUCUUAACCCUCGUCCAUUACACUUGUUUCUUCAUUUCUUUGCAGCUGCCAUCUAUGGUGUUGGCCGCUUAAUGCUUCCGUUCCCUUCACCUAAACGCAUGUGGCUUGGGUUUCUAUUGAUCUUGAGUGCAUCACACAUCAUAUUCAGUCUCUUAAGGUAAGUUCUAAGUUUGAAUUGGUUAAUGACUUAAUGGGUAGUUGGGUACUGAAUCUAUUUCAAUAUUUUGCAAUUGGGUUGAACAAUUGGAGUAUUGGACAGUUUGAACUUUGAAGAGAAGAAUUUGUUCUUCAGUGGUUCACUUCUUCGUAUCUAUUUGAAUGAGUUUGCUGCUUUUAAUUUUGGUACUUAGUCUUGAUUUGGAUGAGUUAGCUACUUCUAAUUUUGCUUAUUUACGUGAGUUUUUCUAUUUGGCUGAGAUUGAUUUUGUUUUGUGUUUUCCUUUUGUAGAUCAUAGUGAUUUUCAUUGCUGGUAGUCUGGUACAUAUGAUAUGCUGCUUUCCUUUUCGUAUUGUAUGAUGACGAGUUAAGUACAAGGUUAGUAUAGGUUCAAAAUAGGAGUAAUUGUGAUGAUGCUUAUUAUAUAUGAAGCUUGUCGCCUCCAUUGCUUAAUGUCUAAAAUAAGAGAUCCCAGGUCUGUUAGUGUUAGUUAAUGCUCUGCUGGUUAAUUAUUUACACUUCUUUCAAUUGGUUAAUGCUCUAUUGCUCUACUAUUUCAAAUUUUCAAUUCUUUGAUUUCUUUGAUUUUUGAUUCUUUGGUGCUUUGUGUGUUUUGUCUUCUUCGCUCU